CUAGGUGUUUCAGUUUGGAUUGAUAUUAUUAAUGUCUUACAUGACUCUUUAUUCUAGUAGUACCAUACGAUGACUUACAUCAUAAAUUAUUGAUAUAUUGAGUUGAUUUUAAGUAUAUCUAUACCAUUGUUUAAUUGAUUAUUAUCUUUAUUUUGAUUUGGUUAUGAGCACUAUAUCAUUAUUUCAUCUAUACAUAUUUAUAGGAUUGGUACCACUAAGA
rnacentral:lncRNA from 1 species